AGGACGAACGCUGGCGGCGUGCUUAACACAUGCAAGUCGAGCGAGGCCCUUCCUUCGGGAAGGUGCCCUAGCGGCGAACGGGUGAGUAACACGUGGGCAACCUGCCCCUAGCACUGGGAUAACUCCGGGAAACCGGGGCUAAUACCGGAUACGACCUCUGAGGGCAUCCUCGGGAGGUGGAAAGCAUUGUGGCUAGGGAUGGGCCCGCGGCCUAUCAGCUUGUUGGUGAGGUAACGGCCCACCAAGGCGACGACGGGUA
rnacentral:rRNA from 1 species